AGUGAACGCUGGCGGUAGGCCUAACACAUGCAAGUCGAACGGCAGCACAGGAGAGCUUGCUCUCUGGGUGGCGAGUGGCGGACGGGUGAGGAAUACAUCGGAAUCUACUCUGUCGUGGGGGAUAACGUAGGGAAACUUACGCUAAUACCGCAUACGACCUACGGGUGAAAGCAGGGGACCUUCGGGCCUUGCGCGAUUGAAUGAGCCGAUGUCGGAUUAGCUAGUUGGCGGGGUAAAGGCCCACCAAGGCGACGAUCCGUAGCUGGUCUGGGAGGAUAAUCAGCCACACUGGAACUGAGACACGGUCCAGACUCCUACGGGAGGCAGCAGUGGGGAAUAUUGGACAAUGGGCGCAAGCCUGACCCAGCCAUACCGCGUGGGUGAAGAAGGCCUUCGGGUUGUAAAGCCCUUUUGUAGGGAAAGAAAUCCAGCUGGCUAAUACCCGGUUGGGACGACGGUACCCAAAGAAUAAGCACCGGCUAACUUCGUGCCAGCAGCCGCCGCAG
rnacentral:rRNA from 1 species